AUUCAAUUGUUAUGAGGGUGGAGUUGGAGAAGGUGGGGCGUUAGAGCAGAGCCUAUUGCAGCGUCCACGACCUCCUCAGGCAUGGCCAAUCCCGACAGGUUGACCAGGUUGCGGGGUUUGGUUAGCAGUGUGUGUGGCCAGUGGUUGGAGCACACUGAAGUGGAGGAGCAGUGUUGUUGUCGACCAUGGAUUCAGGUUGAGAUCAGCCACUGAUGACACGAGUCUUCUACCCUGCUCCUGUGAAGGUUUCUUUUUCUAAAAUUAAAUCAAGUCUCAAGGAAUGAGAUGGAAGCGUUGUUCAGGCUCUAUGAGAAGGUGAACCGCUCUAUCAAUGACGAUGAACUCAUCCAAUUGCACUUUAUUGGUAACAAUUUUACCAUUCGAGG